rnacentral:rRNA from 1 species
GGGUUAGUAGGUUGGUCAUGCCUCUGGUAUGUACUGGUCUCACUGAUUCCUCCUUCCUGAUGAACCGUAAUGCCAUUAAUUUGGUGUUGCGGGGAAUUUGGACUGUUACUUUGAAAAAAUUAGAGUGUUUAAAGCAGGCAUUUUGCUUGAAUACAUUAGCAUGGAAUAAUAAAAUAGGACGGCAUGAUUCUAUUUUGUUGGUUUCUAGGAUCACCGU